AUCUCGUCCAAACCACCCUGGACACACCCAGUCUCUCCUGACCCAGGAGGCUAAGCAGGGCUGGGCCUACACUUAGUGCUUGAAUGGUGACCCCUUGGGAAAGCCAGGUGGGGUAGGCC
rnacentral:rRNA from 1 species